rnacentral:rRNA from 1 species
UGGUGCCUUCGGGAACUGUGAGACAGGUGCUGCAUGGCUGUCGUCAGCUCGUGUUGUGAAAUGUUGGGUUAAGUCCCGCAACGAGCGCAACCCUUAUCCUUUGUUGCCAGCGAUUCGGUCGGGAACUCAAAGGAGACUGCCAGUGAUAAACUGGAGGAAGGUGGGGAUGACGUCAAGUCAUCAUGGCCCUUACGACCAGGGCUACACACGUGCUACAAUGGCGCAUACAAAGAGAAGCGACCUCGCGAGAGCAAGCGGACCUCAUAAAGUGCGUCGUAGUCCGGAUUGGAGUCUGCAACUCGACUCCAUGAAGUCGGAAUCGCUAGUAAUCGUGGAUCAGAAUGCCACGGUGAAUACGUUCCCGGGCCUUGUACACACCGCCCGUCACACCAUGGGAGUGGGUUGCAAAAGAAGUAGGUAGCUUAACCUUCGGGAGGGCGCUUACCACUUUGUGAUUCAUGACUGGGGUGAAGUCGUAACAAGGUAACCGUAGGGGAACCUGCGGUUGGAUCACCUCCUUACCUUAAAGAA